UACGUAGGUGGCGAGCGUUAUCCGGAAUGAUUGGGCGUAAAGGGUGCGUAGGCGGCCUGCUAAGUCUGGAGUGAAAGGUACCGGCUCAACCGGUACAGGCUCUGGAAACUGGCGGGCUAGAGAGCAGGAGAGGGCGGUGGAACUCCAGGUGUAGCGGUGAAAUGCAUAGAUAUCACGCAGAACCCCGAUUGCGAAGGCAGCAUGCCGGCUUCCUACUGACGCUGAAGCACGAAAGCGUGGGGAUCGAACGGG
rnacentral:rRNA from 1 species